UACGGGGGGGGCAAGCGUUGUUCGGAAUUACUGGGCGUAAAGGGCUCGUAGGCGGCCAACUAAGUCAGACGUGAAAUCCCUCGGCUUAACCGGGGAACUGCGUCUGAUACUGGAUGGCUAGAGUGUGGGAGAGGGAUGCGGAAUUCCAGGUGUAGCGGUGAAAUGCGUAGAUAUCUGGAGGAACACCGGUGGCGAAGGCGGAUCUCUGGACAGCUCCUGACGCUGAGGCGCGAAGGCUAGGGGAGCAAACGGGG
rnacentral:rRNA from 1 species